ACGACGCUGGCGGCGUGCUUAACACAUGCAAGUCGAACGGUGAACCAGAGCUUGCUCUGGGGAUCAGUGGCGAACGGGUGAGUAACACGUGGGCAACCUGCCCCAGACUCUGGGAUAACCUCGGGAAACCGAUGCUAAUACCGGAUACGACCACUUCGGACAUCCGACGGUGGUGGAAAGUUUUUCGGUCUGGGAUGGGCCCGCGGCCUAUCAGCUAGUUGGUGGGGUAAUGGCCUACCAGGGGCGACGACGGGUAGCCGGCCUGAGAGGGCGACCGGCCACACUGGAACUGAGACACGGUCCAGACUCCUACGGGAGGCAGCAGUGGGGAAUAUUGCACAAUGGGCGAAAGCCUGAUGCAGCGACGCCGCGUGAGGGACGACGGCCUUCGGGUUGUAAACCUCUUUCAGCAGGGACGAAGCGAAAGUGACUGUACCUGCAGAAGAAGCACCGGCUAACUACGUG
rnacentral:rRNA from 1 species